CCGAGUUUACAACUCCCAAAACCCCUGUGAACAUACCACUUGUUGCCUCGGCGGAUCAGCCCGCUCCCGGUAAAAACGGGACGGCCCGCCAGAGGACCCCUAAACUCUGUUUCUAUAUGUAACUUCUGAGUAAAAACCAUAAAUAAAUCA
rnacentral:misc_RNA from 1 species